rnacentral:lncRNA from 10 species
UCAGACGCAGCCGUGCACACCAGCUCCUAGAUCACCACCAAGACUUAAAGGAGAAGGAGGAAGUUGUGGAGGAGGUGGACAAUGAAAGAGAUGCCCCUACUAACAGGAAUACUAAUGAGGGCAAUGGGGAGGAGGAGGCUGACCAUGAGGUAGACAAAGAAGGGAAGAAGAGUGGAGAGGAAGGGGGAGGAGGAGGAAGUUGAUGGUGAGGAAGAAGAUGGAGAUAAAGAUGAGGAAGCUGAGGCUGCUGAGGGCAAACUGGCUGCUGAAAAUGAUCAGGAUGACAAUAUUGUUACCAAGAAGCAGAAGACCAAUGAGGAUGACCAG